rnacentral:rRNA from 1 species
GUGGGGAAUAUUGCACAAUGGACGAAAGUCUGAUGCAGCUACGCCGCGUGGAGGAUGACACAUUUCGGUGUGUAAACUCCUUUUAUAUGAGAAGAUAAUGACGGUAUUAUAUGAAUAAGCUCCGGCUAACUCCGUGCCAGCAGCCGCGGUAAUAAGGGGGGUGCAAGCGUUACUCGGAAUCACUGGGCGUCAAGAGCAUGUAGGCGGAUUAAUAAGUCUGAAGUGAAAUCCUAUAGUUUAACUAUAGAACUGCUAUGACAACUAUUAAUCUAGAAUGUGGGAGAGGUAGAUGGAAUAUCUGGAGUAGGAGUAAAAUCCGUAGAGGUCAGAAGGAAUACCGAUUGCUAAGGCGAUCUACUAGAACAUUAUUGACGCUGAGAUGCCGAAGCGUGGGUGGCAAACACGACUAGAAACCCUGGCUCC